GAUGAACGCUGGCGGCGUGCCUAAUACAUGCAAGUCGAGCGAACAGACGAGGCGCUUGCGCCUCGCACGUGUGCCGCGGACGUGUGAGAAACGCGAGUAUACCCUCCCUGUCAGACUGAUAUCACUACGAGAAACCGGCUCUUAUACCGUAUAAUCUCUUGAACCACAUGGUUCGAUGGUAAAAUUCGGUGUUUCUGUCACUUCUAGAUGCAUCCGGGCCGCAUUAGGUGGUUGGUAAGGUAACGGGUUACCACGGCGACGAGGCGUAGCCGAACUGAGGGGGUGAUCGGCCACACGGGAACUGAGACACGGUCCAGACUCCUACGGUAGGCAGCAGAAGGGAAUCUGCCGCAAUGGGCGAAAGCCUGACGGAGCAAGGCGGCGUGAGUGAUGAAGGUCUUCGGAUCGUAAAAAUCUGUUAUUAGGGAAGAACAAAUGUGUAAGGAACUAUGCACGUAUUGACGGUACCUAAUCAGAAAGCCACGGCUAACUACGUG
rnacentral:rRNA from 1 species